rnacentral:rRNA from 1 species
UCCGUAGGCGGGUUAUUAAGUCAGUGGUGAAAUCCUACAGCUCAACUGUAGAACUGCCAUUGAAACUGGUAACCUUGAGUAUAAUUGAAGUGGGCGGAAUGUGUCAUGUAGCGGUGAAAUGCUUAGAUAUGACACAGAACACCGAUUGCGAAGGCAGCUCACUAAGUUAUAACUGACGCUAAGGGACGAAAGCGUGGGUAGCGAACAGGAUUAGAUACCCUGGUAGUCCACGCCGUAAACGAUGUAUACUCGUUGCUGGCGAUACACAGUCAGUGACCAAGCGAAAGUGUUAAGUAUACCACCUGGGGAGUACGCUCGCAUGUGUGUAACUCAAAGGAAUUGACGGGGGCCCGCACAAGCGGUGGAGCAUGUGGUUUAAUUCGAUGA